rnacentral:rRNA from 1 species
AUUGAACGCUGGCGGCAUGCCUUACACAUGCAAGUCGAACGGCAGCACGGGAGCAAUCCUGGUGGCGAGUGGCGAACGGGUGAGUAAAGUAUCGGAACGUGCCCAGUCGUGGGGGAUAACGUAGCGAAAGUUACGCUAAUACCGUAUACGAUCUAUGGAUGAAAGCGGGGGAUCGCAAGACCUCGCGCGAUUGGAGCGGCCGAUAUCAGAUUAGGUAGUUGGUGGGGUAAAGGCCCACCAAGCCGACGAUCUGUAGCUGGUCUGAGAGGACGACCAGCCACACUGGGACUGAGACACGGCCCAGACUCCUACGGGAGGCAGCAGUGGGGAAUUUUGGACAAUGGGCGAAAGCCUGAUCCAGCCAUGCCGCGUGCAGGAUGAAGGCCUUCGGGUUGUAAACUGCUUUUGUACGGAACGAAAAGGACUGCCCUAAUACGGUGGUCCCAUGACGGUACCGUGAGAAUAAGCACCGGCUAACUACGUGCCAGCAGCCGCCGCAGUAA